UUCUGAAACAUUAAAAGUGUUAUAUGACUUUUUUGAAUCUGGUGGUUUAUCCUCAACAACUGUGUUAACUGUGUUAACAUUUGCACUGAUGGUGCAAAAAUGGUGGAUUUUAUCCAAUGGUGGGUAAAAUGACUGGUGUCUUAGCACGAAUUAAGGCAAUGGCACCAAAUUUUAUUAGUAGUCAUUGUAUUCUUCACCACCACACAUUCGUAGUAAAAAAAAAAAAACAGUUUUACUAAAAUAAUGUCCUUGAUGAAGUUGUAAAUAUUACAUUUCCAACAUAUGCUUUUUGGGGACACAUUCAAACCAUUGCAAAUACUAAUAUUGAACAAAGUAGAAUAAAUGAUGAAAUUUUUCAGUGUCAAAGAAGGAUACUUUAUUAUGCUAAAAUGUACAAUUCACCAACUACCUAUAAAACACAUACAUAGAAAAACAAAACAAAACAAAACAAAACCUCACCAAAACAGUACUAACAAGAAAGCCUCCACUUGGAAACUUAAAAACAUCUCACUAAUUUUUGGGUUGAAAAGGAAAUCAAAAUUGCAAUUCAAAGGAGUUAUGUUUUUGCUAGGAAUAUGGAGGGAAUUCAGUUCAGAAUUCGUUUCUCUAUAUAGUACAGCAAAGAGAAUGAAAAAGAAAACCACACAAGAACUUCAUUUUUAGUGAAACUAGGAAACAAAAAGUAUGGUUACAUCCCAAAUUGCAUGUCAUUUGUGCUUAAAGCAACGGAGAGCAGAACUGGGCACAAGAAGCCAAAAUGUUGCUGUGGCAACAGAUGAAAGCGUGGAGGGAACUAGUGGUGCGGGAUCUCGGAAAGGGCCCGAAAAUAUUCUCUCUCUAAGAGUAGAAGCCAGCCUAGGUUGGAGCUGUUGGCAGUUGGCCUGAGCUACAGUGAGGCCCAGAUGCUGGGGGAGGCAGAAGAAGGCCCACAUAUUGGGGGAGCAGACAUUGUUUUGGAGGUUCCAAGGUGGCAGAUAACAAAGGUUCCCUCUGGAAUGCAGGGAGCCCUAACACCGUGGUAGGAUCCUUGCUGAAAUAGAUUAAAUUCCCCAAGUUGGAAAAAACAUGGAUGCGGCGUAUUUUAAGAUAAAGUUCACGUGUUAGUAAUAAAGGAUUGGUCCUUCGGUUGUAAAACCUGGGAGGUUACUAUUGCCCAUGUCUUCUCUCACCACCCCAUCAUCCCACCCCCAUCUAACAGGAGUCUUCCACUAAUAUCUGGCCCAGGAAUGCUCAAUUUAUUCAGAAUAAGUAGGAAAAGAAAUGGCACAGUUCCACAUAAAUAUGCCAUAAGAAAAAAAUGUUUACAGAAAGCAGCAAGAUUUCCCUCCAGAAGUAAUGAAGCAACCUCAGCCAUGAAGAUCAUGGAGCCAAAAGGAUGACCUUCAGCAGAAGCAGUUACGAGCCAGAGAGGUCCAAGGGCACUGAGGGAGGAGCCAAGUGGUAAGGGCCACCUCUGGCUGGGAUCCAGGGUGCCCAAGUGGGAAAAUGAGCAAGCCAGAGAGUGCUUGGUCUAGGGAUUAAGAAAAGCACACAGGAAUAGGUUGGACACUAAAUUUGAAAAUGAACAGUGAGAGAAAUGCUGUGGGGACCAGGAUUGAAAUGAAGUAACAGAACAAUUAAAAUUACGUGAUCCAGGGACAGAGACUUGAACUCAUAAACAGGCCUGUGUUGCCCAUUAGUCACAAGGGGAGCAGUGAGCCAUCGUUAAAAUGCCAAGGAUUCCCAAUGCAGUUUACUUGGAACUUUGCCCAGCGAUGAAGGAGUCUGACUUGUCUUUUCUGUAAUAGUUAGAAUCAAAGAAAAAUAAAGCACAGCUGGUGGGAGGGUGAGAAGCAAGCAUCAUGAACCACGGUCUAAUUCAGGGAUCAAACUGCUGUCCAGUUCUGGCAGAUUUUGGAUUGCAAGGGGAAUAAAGCUGAGAGGCCAUACUGGCACCUAGGCACAGUGAGGUGAGUCUGGCCACGCAUUUUAAGAAGCCCCUGCAAAAUGAUACAGGUGGUUACUAAAAACCACCUCUGGCCUCUGGAAAAAAAGAAAUAGCAUCUCCUGGAUAAGAAUAUCUGGGUCUCACACCUAUUGACCAGGUCGAGAUAGGGUUCAGUUGGGGAUGGGAUAUAAUAAAAGGCAUGGGUAAAGAAACUGGGCAGAGGCAUAGUGCCUGCAUGUUGGAGGUUAAGGAGGGAAUUCGGAACUCAUUUUUCUAUAUAUAUUACAACAAAGGUUAAGUUUGGAGGUUAAGUAAGGAUGCUGCAGCUCACUCAUGGUUGCUUUUCCUUCAGAGUACUCAUGCCUCGGCUUACCCAGGGGGACUCAAGGAGAGGAAUGUGUGUGCGCAUAUCUAUCUAUCUAUCUAUCUAUCUAUCUAUCUAUCCAUCCAUCCACCUUCUAAUCUACCUAAAUCAAUCACUGUGUGUAUCUAUUCCAACCACAAUGGACUCCUAUCAUUCAAUUUCAUUUAGUGGUACAUCUCAGCCCAGUUUACAGAAAAGCUGUAAAGGGCUGUAAAAGGCUGUAUGAGAACAUAAUCUGAAAAGCGUUGCUCAAAAGAGCAUAUUACAUAUUAUUGGGCAUUUAUGAAGAAAUUAGAUCUCACACUGAGCUAGUUAAUAAAGAUUUAUAAUUACAAAUGGGCUGCAGCAUGUGAUUCUGAACUUGACUAUUUCCUUUUGCCCUUCAGUUUCAGACUAUGAUAUGGAUUGUGAUUCUCUACCACCCCCUAGUGGAAAUUCAUUCAUUUCUUUUUAAGUCCUGUUUCUUCUAAUCAUUUAGUCUAAAUGAUUAGACUAAAUGAGAAAAUUUCAUAGUAAAUAUCUGGAUUCACUCUUGUUAUAAAAGGUUCAAACCGGCCGGGUGCGGUGGCUCACACCUGUAAUCCCAGCACUUUGGGAGGCCAAGGCGGGCGGAUCACAAGGUCAGGAGAUCGAGACCAUCCUGGUUAACACAGUGAAACCCCGGUCUCUACUAAAAACACAAAAAAUUAGCCUUGCGUGGUGGCGGGCGCCUGUAGUUGGUGGCGGGCGCCUGUAGUCCCAGCUACUUGGGAUGCUGAGGCAGGAGGAUUGCUUGAGCCCAGGAGUUCGAGGUUACAGUGAGCUAUGAUUGCACCACUACACUCCAUCUUGGGUAAUGGGGCCAGCCAAACACCACAGAAAAAACUGCGACUCCACCCCCACCAGCUAAGGUCAAAUGAGGAGCCUAGACUUUCACCCUCACCAGGCUGUCAUAAGGAACCCAACACUUCAACACACACAUGCACACACACCAGGAUGGUGUCGGAGAAAGUGAGUAGGGAGUCAGGAUGGUCACGCCCUCUUGGUGAAAAUGUACUCCUUUCCCCAAGCCCCUGAAAUGUCAAUGGAAACCUAGACUUCCAUACCUCACCCAA
rnacentral:lncRNA from 1 species